rnacentral:rRNA from 1 species
GACGAACGCUGGCGGCGUGCCUAAUACAUGCAAGUAGAACGCUGAAGGAGGAGCUUGCUUCUCUGGAUGAGUUGCGAACGGGUGAGUAACGCGUAGGUAACCUGCCUGGUAGCGGGGGAUAACUAUUGGAAACGAUAGCUAAUACCGCAUAAGAGUAGAUGUUGCAUGACAUUUGCUUAAAAGGUGCAAUUGCAUCACUACCAGAUGGACCUGCGUUGUAUUAGCUAGUUGGUGGGGUAACGGCUUACCAAGGCGACGAUACAUAGCCGACCUGAGAGGGUGAUCGGCCACACUGGGACUUAGACACGGCCCAGACUCCUACGGGAGGCAGCAGUAGGGAAUCUUCGGCAAUGGACGGAAGUCUGACCGAGCAACGCCGCGUGAGUGAAGAAGGUUUUCGGAUCGUAAAGCUCUGUUGUAAGAGAAGAACGAGUGUGAGAGUGGAAAGUUCACACUGUGACGGUAUCUUACCAGAAAGGGACGGCUAACUACGUG